GACGAACGCUGGCGGCGUGCUUAACACAUGCAAGUCGAACGGUGAAGGGAUCAGCUUGCUGGUUCUGGAUGAGUGGCGAACGGGUGAGUAACACGUGAGUAACCUGCCCCCUUCUUCUGGAUAACCGCAUGAAAGUGUGGCUAAUACGGGAUAUUCUGGGUCUGUCGCAUGAUGGGUCUGGGAAAGAUAUUGUUUCGGUGGGGGAUGGGCUCGCGGCCUAUCAGCUUGUUGGUGGGGUGAUGGCCUACCAAGGCGGUGACGGGUAGCCGGCCUGAGAGGGUGGACGGUCACACUGGGACUGAGACACGGCCCAGACUCCUACGGGAGGCAGCAGUGGGGAAUAUUGCACAAUGGGUGCAAGCCUGAUGCAGCGACGCCGCGUGAGGGAUGGAGGCCUUCGGGUUGUAAACCUCUUUCGCCAGUGAAGCAGGCCUGCUCCUUGUGGGUGGGUUGACGGUAGCUGGAUAAGAAGCGCCGGCUAACUACGUG
rnacentral:rRNA from 1 species